GGAUGUGAGGGCGAUCUGGCUGCGACAUCUGUCACCCGAUUGAUCGCCAGGGUUGAUUUGGCUGAUCUGGCUGGCUAGGCGGGUGUCCCCGUGUCCCCUUCCUCCCUCACCGCUCCAUGUGCGUCCCUCCCGAAGCUGCGCGCUCGGUGGAAGAGGACGACGUCCCAGGUAUAGAAGGAGUGUACCGAGGUCUCCAGUCUUCGGUCCUGGGUAUACGAUAG
rnacentral:snRNA from 1 species